GGGAGAGCCCCUGAGAGGCUAUUGGUGAAAGCAGCAAGCAGCAGAAGUGCCCAGCAUUUGGAGUUGCCGGUUCCAUGGGAUGACCUCCAAGAACAGCAACAGCCUUGGAGUGGACCCGGCCAGAGCCUAGAAUCCAACCAGUGUGUGUCCGAAAGUGAUGUGACCCAAGAGCCUUGGAGGAUCCCAGAAGAAUGUGUAACUGGAGGUUCGUCUCUGGUGCUCCUAGAGCCUGCGAAGGAUUGUGUUGGCGGCUUAGCCAAACACUGCCGAAAGGUCCACGGACCCAAGCCUUCUGAUUACUGACAGUUUCCAGCGGAGCAUUCCACUCGGCAUGCACAAGCCCCGAACUGUCAUGUUCUAGGGGGACAGAGUGACGUCAUCACGAGUCUUAUUUCACUGAAGAAAAUGUUAACUUGUGUUAUGUUGCUUUUCAAAACCGUUUUUGUUUUGUAUGCUAUCAAUUAACUCAUAAGGUAUCCAUUACUCCUUACAUUGUUUUGGGAGACUUGCUUUGGAAACGUGUGAACAUUCCAAGAUCAUGAUGCCCAGGGGCUCAGGAUGGCCGGGCCUGCAGACCCCUGGCGAGUUUCCUGAGCAGCAGGCAAGCCUGCCAGCCAGAUGGGAAACACUCGCUCUGCUUUUCAUGAGCACCACCCCCGGGCCUGAAGAUUAACUGGCUUUUUUGGAAUCCAAUUUCGUUUCUACAGAGCUAUUAAAUGUGAAACAUUUUUUAAGAGAAGUGAUAAGAUUAUUUACUUAUAUCUUUGCUAUGUAAUUUUGGACCAUUAAGUGUGACCUUUUUAGAUUUUUCUACUAAAACAGUACACUGGUUUAUAUUAAGUACAAGUAGAAAAUUCAACCUCCUCCAAAAACAACACAUAAUUUUCAGACAUAUUUUACUCAUAUUAAACAUGUGGUUAUUGCAUUACUAAAAAUAUCAAAACAAUUUAUGACUUCUGGAAAAUCCACAGUGCCGGUUCUUAUUUGUUAUUUUUCUUAAGCAUCAGGGUGUGAGCUGGCAGGAGUGAACAGUCCUACUUAUUUUCCUCCAGAUAUUUUUAGUGUUUCUCAUUAUAGAAAGCUUGUCAGGAGGAAAGCAAAUUUGUUUCUUUUGAGCUGUAAAGUACCAAUCUCAUCUCCCUUUAAAGUUUUGAUUUAAAAUCAAAAGGUUUAAAAAAUCUCAUUUUAAGUGAAAUGCCUUGAAAUGCCUUAAUACGACUAUUUUUAAUCUAUUUCAUCUGUUUUCAAACUAUUAAAUCAAUUUCUACUUC